UAAAUUGUUCUAGCCUUGCAUUAUAUAUAUCUCCUAUUUAGAUGUAACGAUUCGAAUCUGUGCAACUUCUGAUAUUCUGACCUUUUGAUACCGAGCUGCCUAUAAGUCUUUGUUGGAAACUCUAAUUUGUUCAAAACUGAUUUUAUUGGAAACUAGACUCGUAGAUCUUUCUUUUGAUAUAUGGAUUGAAAGAUUUGGAAUUCAAACACCUGCCCAGUUAUCUGUUAAAUCUGACAUUAUGAAUUCUACCAAAUAGAGAUUUUGUUCUGCGACCCUUGUUUACCAAAUUAUUUGUAACUCUCUCUGUUGGACAGUUCAAUUCAUAUGAAGCUUGUUUUAUCUUGAAGUAGAUUGAAAUAUCUUUCCAAUGAUAUAUUUCUGAGUAAAUUGGAGCACGAUUGAUAGUUUGAAUCAUUUGUUCAAUGUGCCUCUUGAAUUCUGCCAGAAAUCGAGCUUUGGUCGAUUUCAUAUAUUC
rnacentral:lncRNA from 1 species